ACCCGCUGAAUUUAAGCAUAUAAGUAGGUGGCGCACAAGAAACAUACAAGGACUCCCACAGUAGUGGCGAAUGCACAGGGGCAAACUCAGUAUGAAAAUUGGGAUGUUUGGUCCUGAGUUGUAGUCUUGCAAUGCGCUACCAGAGGAGAUGCAGCUACAGGCUCUUGGAAAGGAGAGUCCGUGAGGGUGAAAACCCUGUGUGCUGGCUGCAGCACUCCGGCAAUCGGUGUGCUGUUUUCGAGUCGUGUACCUUGGCACUGGUGCAUGAAGCGGUGGUAAUUUUUAUCCAAAGAUGAAGAAGUGUUUGAGACCAAUAGAAAACAAGUACCUUAAGGGAAAGGUGAAACAGAACUUUGUAAAGAGAGAUAACUAUGCUUGAACCUGCUGAAUUUGACGUGAAUGGUGACAGUGUCAUGUGGUAGGAUUUCUGUGCGUUGCCGCGUUUGUCUGCUGUUUGUGUAUUUGUGUAGCAGCAGGACUUGAGCAGGAUGCACAUAGUGCAUCUGGCCCCACCAAUCAAUCUCAGCAUGCUGCUUAGGCAUAGCGGCAGGGAUCUGGUUGACCAUCCCUUGGUGGAAGAAGUCCUCCGUGCUGCUAGCGCAGGUGCACCUUGGUGACUACACAGAUCCAUUUGGCCCGUCUUGAAACACGGAUCAAGGAGUCUAAUAUACAUGCAAGUAUANGGGUGGCAAGCCUGUGUGCUCAGUGAAAGUACUGGCUGGGAUUGUUGCACCAGCAACCAAUCAUUUGCCAAAGAAAUGCCCGAGUAUGAGCAUGCCUAUUAGGACCCGAAAGAUGGUGAACUAUGUCUGUGAAUGGCAAACCCAGGGGAAACUCUGAUGGAGGCCUGUAGCGAUACUAACGUGCAAAUUGUUCGUCAUACAUGGGCAUAGGGGUGAAAGACUAAUCGAACCAUCUAGUAGCUGGUUCCCUCCGA
rnacentral:rRNA from 1 species